rnacentral:rRNA from 1 species
CCCUUAGAUGUUCUGGGCCGCACGCGCGCUACACUGAUGCGUUCGACAAGUUUCCUUGGCCGAGAGGCCUGGGCAAUCUUCUUAAUAUGUAUCGUGAUAGGGAUAGAUUAUUGCAAUUAUUAAUCUUGAACGAGGAAUUCCUAGUAAACGCAGAUCAUCAAUCUGCAUUGAUUACGUCCCUGCCCUUUGUACACACCGCCCGUCGCUCCUACUGAUUGGGUGAUCCGGUGAGCUGUUCGGCCAUAGCAAUGUUUCUUGAGCAGGGCAAUGAAUGUUUCGCAAACCUUGCCACUUAGAGGAAGGAGAAGUCGUAACA